GCCCUCGUUGCUCAGGGUGAGCACCCGUCUAACAUGUCCACACCACCAAUUUCAGCGGGCAGUGGGGGUUCGACUCCCCCCGAGGGCA